AAUCUUGGACAAUGGGCGCAAGCCUGAUCCAACCAUGCCGCGUGAGUGAAGAAGGCCUUCGGGUUGUAAAGCUCUUUUGCCAGGGACGAUAAUGACGGUACCUGGAGAAUAAGCCCCGGCAAACUUCGUGCCAGCAGCCGCGGUAAUACGAAGGGGGCUAGCGUUGUUCGGAAUUACUGGGCGUAAAGCGCACGUAGGCUGAUAGUUAAGUGAGGGGUGAAAUCCCGAGGCUCAACCUCGGAACUGCCUUUCAUACUGGCUGUCUCGAGUCCGGAAGAGGUUAGUGGAAUUCCUAGUGUAGAGGUGAAAUUCGUAGAUAUUAGGAAGAACACCAGUGGCGAAGGCGGCUAACUGGUCCGGUACUGACGCUGAGGUGCGAAAGCGUGGGGAGCAAACAGG
rnacentral:rRNA from 1 species